GGAAAGUCCACUGUUGCCCUCCCAUGAAGGCAAACUGUUCCUGGCUCUCUGAACAAGAAGUCCCAGUUCCGUUGUCAAGUGGUCCAGCAAGUCCGUGACAGACGGUACAGCUGCCAAGCCCUACAAAACAUCCACCCUCAGAAUGUCUUCAGGUAUGGGAGACACAUACACAGUGCAUAAGUGGAGAGCCAAGCAGCCGAUGCCAAGAUGCAAAGACCCAGAUUUUGCUUUCACUGACCAACUUUCGUAGCUGUUUAUGCAGCUCUGCCCGGAAACUUAUCCGGGUUCAGAGACCAGUGGAUUGCCAAAUCCACAUGUGGCUCUGGUUGUCCAGUGCCCCGCAAGCCGGGCACCUUGGCCAGUUCUCUUAUCAAGCAGAAAAGGCUUUACCCUUCCGCCAGCUGCAGCAGGUACUCUUUGAACUGGAAUGCUCGGGCAGGACUGGGUUGCGCAGCAAUGAUCCUUCUCCCAAAUGACUUGCGCUAAGUCUGUACACAACUGCAGACAUUAGUUGCUUAACUCCCGCAACUCAGCGGGGACACAGGCAUCAUAGGAAACGUGUUCCACCACAAUGGGGGAGUCUCUGGGCCUCCUCUUGGGACCCGACAGCUGUUCAUGCUCUAUUUUCUGACGGACUACCCGGCGGGCCUGCAACGGAGGUUUCUCCUCCCUGUGCUGCAUCCUGCUGGGAUUUGGCAUUCAUUUCCCUCAGCACAGUCGCAAAUGCCCAUCUGACUCUGCUGGCAAAGGCCCUGUCCUACCAUGAGCUGAAGAGGCAGCAGCAUAUGUGUUUGGAGUUUAGUAGGGACUGAGAAGCAGGGAAAAGAACUGCCUAACCAAAGAGAUGGCAUCUUGAUGUGUUCUCCUGGCUGGCCUUGAACUUCUGAGCUCAAGUGAUCCUCCCACCUCAGCCUCUCAAAGUGCUGGGAUUACAGGUAUAAGCCACCAUGCCCAGCCUAUUUCUUGAAAUUUGGUCUCCAACCAUGCUAAAAAACUGGUCAUUGCCUAAUCAGGUAAGACAUGAUGAAUCACACUCUCCAGGCUCCUGAAGUAGCUUACCAAUAUUGGGAAUACCUGUUGACCCUGAUUACUCAGACUAUAUCCUGCCUGGGCUGUCAGGCAGCUCAAAGUUAAAUUUUUAUUUUUUAUUAUAAGAGACAUGGCCA